rnacentral:rRNA from 1 species
GGUCUUGACCAUCCCGGAGACCCGUUAGGAAACUAGGGGGUGCUUCCAUCUGGAAGAAUCUGGAGACAGGUGCUGCAUGGCUGUCGUCAGCUCGUGUCGUGAGAUGUUGGGUUAAGUCCCGCAACGAGCGCAACCCUUGCCUUUAGUUGCCAGCAGUUCGGCUGGGCACUCUAAAGGGACUGCCGGUGUUAAACCGGAGGAAGUGGGGAUGACGUCAAGUCCUCAUGGCCUUUAUGACCAGGGCUACACACGUACUACAAUGGCCGAUACAAAGGGCAGCGACACUGCGAGGUGAAGCCAAUCCCGUAAAAUCGGUCUCAGUCCGGAUUGGAGUCUGCAACUCGACUCCAUGAAGUUGGAAUCGCUAGUAAUCGUGGAUCAGCAUGCCACGGUGAAUACGUUCCCGGGCCUU